rnacentral:rRNA from 1 species
UACGAAGGGGGCUAGCGUUGCUCGGAAUCACUGGGCGUAAAGGGUGCGUAGGCGGGUCUUUAAGUCAGGGGUGAAAUCCUGGAGCUCAACUCCAGAACUGCCUUUGAUACUGAAGAUCUUGAGUUCGGGAGAGGUGGGUGGAACUGCGAGUGUAGAGGUGAAAUUCGUAGAUAUUCGCAAGAACACCAGUGGCGAAGGCGGCUCACUGGCCCGAUACUGACGCUGAGGCGCGAUAGCGUGGGGAUCAAACAGG